rnacentral:tRNA from 1 species
UGGCUCAGUCAGUAGAGCAUGUGACUCUUAAUCUCAAGAUCAUGAGUUCAAACCUCAC